CAGCCGCCACGGUAAUACGAAGGGGGCUAGCGUUGCUCGGAAUGACUGGGCGUAAAGGGCGCGUAGGCGGAUCGAACAGUCAGACGUGAAAUUCCUGGGCUUAACCUGGGGGCUGCGUUUGAGACGUUUGGUCUAGAGUGGGGAAGAGGGUCGUGGAAUUCCCAGUGUAGAGGUGAAAUUCGUAGAUAUUGGGAAGAACACCGGUGGCGAAGGCGGCGACCUGGUCCUUGACUGACGCUGAGGCGCGAAAGCGUGGGGAGCAAACAGGAUUAGAUACCCCAGUAGUCCCUGUCUCUUAUAC
rnacentral:rRNA from 1 species